AUUGAACGCUGGCGGCAGGCUUAACACAUGCAAGUCGAGCGGAGAUGAGGUGCUUGCACCUUAUCUUAGCGGCGGACGGGUGAGUAAUGCUUAGGAAUCUGCCUAUUAGUGGGGGACAACAUUCCGAAAGGAAUGCUAAUACCGCAUACGUCCUACGGGAGAAAGCAGGGGAUCUUCGGACCUUGCGCUAAUAGAUGAGCCUAAGUCGGAUUAGCUAGUUGGUGGGGUAAAGGCCUACCAAGGCGACGAUCUGUAGCGGGUCUGAGAGGAUGAUCCGCCAAACUGGGACUGAGACACGGCCCAGACUCCUACGGGAGGCAGCAGUGGGGAAUAUUGGACAAUGGGCGGAAGCCUGAUCCAGCCAUGCCGCGUGUGUGAAGAAGGCCUUCUGGUUGUAAAGCACUUUAAGCGAGGAGGAGGCUACCUAGAUUAAUACUCUGGGAUAGUGGACGUUACUCGCAGAAUAAGCACCGGCUAACUCUGUGCCAGCAGCCGCGGUAAUAC
rnacentral:rRNA from 1 species